AAACAAAUUGUAUUGUGGAUGAUGCAGAAAUUUCAAUAGUUUAAAACGUGAUUCUUUUGUUAUUCGCUUUGACUUUUUCUUUAAUUUAAAUACCAGACGUUCAAGAUCAGGUAUACGAAAUAUCGUAUAUGUUUGUAUUGUUAGGUAAGGAAGACAAUCAGACAAUGUUUUCUGAACAUUGCUUUAUUAAAGUCCUACCCAUUGUGGAUAGACAUGGUCUUCAAAAUUAAGUAUUCGUUCAAAUCGUUAACCCUUUUUUGCAACAUCUCUUGAGUACACGACUACGCCACUAGUCAAGUAACCAAUACACCAACUAAACGUUUCUAUUGUCAUUAUGAUAUGGUCACAAGCAACGACAGUAGCCAUAUCAAAUUCUCGUUUACCUAAGGAUAUAAAUUCUACAGGAACAUGAGAAGGCAUAUUAUUUUUUUACCAAGCCAUACCAUCUGAUAUAACCAGAAAUAAUACAGUUGCAAACUUGUUAGCGUAAUAACUAACAAAUCUAUUUAAAAACUCGGAUGAAGCAAUGUUGAAUCCAUCGUGGUUUCCAACUUUAUCCCCUCUUCUGAUAUGAACUCCUACCAAAAUAAUAUUCUUGCGUGAACUAAUUUUUCGCCUCUGUAGUAUUCCUUAAAUCGUCUGAUCUGCAGUAUUCUGUAUAUUCUAUCGAAAUGUUAAUUGCUUCCGAAUCUGCCUAUCAUACAUGUCAAAAUAUGUCCAUGACUGAAGUCCAGUUCCAAGUUGAAUAUUAUCUUCAGAAAUAAAAUUUAAUAUAAUUUUGUUGUGUGUCGGAGAUGCUUUAUCUAAAACUUUUCGAAACCCCUUACAUACGCCUUUUGGUCUAUUUUAUGUCACAUGUAUUGCAAACACUUUUCGGAUUUCAGCAUCUGAAGGUACGAUAAGCUCCAUUUGUUUCGUCCUUGCAACAGCAAAGGAAGUAGAAAAUUGAAACAAUCGAUGUCCGCGACCACCUUGUAAAAUAGGACAUAUUGACCCCUUUUGUUUUGUUGUAACUCCAAUAAUGUGUGUUGUUGAUAUGUUCCUCCUAAAUAAAGGUACUGGUAAAUUUACUGCCGUUGAUAAAUCGAACAGGGGUCUGAGGAGAAGGUUAACAGAAAUUAGCAACAGGAUACUUUAAAUGUAAA
rnacentral:lncRNA from 1 species